rnacentral:rRNA from 1 species
UACGUAGGGGGCAAGCGUUGUCCGGAUUCAUUGGGCGUAAAGAGCUCGUAGGCGGUUUGUCGCGUCUGCUGUGAAAUCCCGAGGCUCAACCUCGGGUCUGCAGUGGGUACGGGCAGACUGGAGUGCGGUAGGGGAGAAUGGAAUUCCUGGUGUAGCGGUGGAAUGCGCAGAUAUCAGGAGGAACACCAGUGGCGAAGGCGGCUUCCUGGACACCAACUGACGCUGAGACGCGAAAGCGUGGGGAGCAAACAGG